GAUGAACGCUGGCGGCGUGCCUAAUACAUGCAAGUCGAGCGAACGGACGAGAAGCUUGCUUCUCUGAUGUUAGCGGCGGACGGGUGAGUAACACGUGGAUAACCUACCUAUAAGACUGGAAUAACUUCGGGAAACCGGAGCUAAUACCGGAUGAUAUUUUGAACCGCAUGGUUCAAAAGUGAAAGACGGUCUUGCUGUCACUUAUAGAUGGAUCCGCGCUGCAUUAGCUAGUUGGUAAGGUAACGGCUUACCAAGGCAACGAUGCAUAGCCGACCUGAGAGGGUGAUCGGCCACACUGGAACUGAGACACGGUCCAGACUCCUACGGGAGGCAGCAGUAGGGAAUCUUCCGCAAUGGGCGAAAGCCCGACGGAGCAACGCCGCGUGAGUGAUGAAGGUCUUCGGAUCGUAAAACUCUGUUAUUAGGGAAGAACAUAUGUGUAAGUAACUGUGCACAUCUUGACGGUACCUAAUCAGAAAGCCACGGCUAACUACGUG
rnacentral:rRNA from 1 species